AGACAGAAGGAAGGUAGAAUUGAAUUUAUUCAUUUGAUAUUUAUUUUUAGAUAAAAGUUGAACAAAGUUAUGUAGUGAACCUUGGCAUCAUUACGGACAAACUGGAUUCCAUGUCCAGGGUAUACGGUUGAAGAACAAAACCAGCAUUUCUCCAACCUCAUUGUGCCUCCAAACUAAAGCAGCACUUUACUAGAAGAAAAAGAAAAUGAUAGUAAGGUAUAAAGUAUUAUAGCAAUUAGAAGAAACAUAGUGUUAGCAUCUACUUAUAUCAUCAAAUUACUGGAAGCAUAAUAACAAUAUCAAAGAAUAUAAACCACUACCACAUGCACCAGAAAUCAAUUAGUGGACAAAUAGCACCCAAUAGACCCUAUCCCCUAAAGUAGAAUUUACAGAAAAUCAACAAAAAUAAAUCAUAAAACUGACAAUAAGAGUCAUGUUUUAAUUAACUAUAACAAAAUAUAUCAGUCAUACAGUCUGAUCAAACACGAAUUAAUCCCAGUGUUAUCAAUAUCAUAGAUAUAACACAAAGUUCAAUAGAUAUGAGAUAGCCUUUGGGAGAUGAGAGAGAGAGGGUCGUGUAAAGUGACUGUGAACAGAGGACGUAGAAACACGAGAAAAUUGCAAAGCACCUGAGAGAUUGAGACGCGGUCGCCGGUAGUCGCGCGGCUGCAGGUGGCCGGAGGUGGUUUGGGCAGCAGCUAUGGGAGUAGUGAAGGUGAGAGAUACUGAGAGAAAUUCGGUGGAAUUAGGGUUCCUAUUUUUUUUUUGGGGGAUUAGUGGCUUAAAUAUGGACUUUGGGCCAUUAAAAUUCAUGGGCCCUUUGCACAGAUUUUUUUUUCAAACAACUAGUGUUUUUUUACCCGCGCGUUGCACGGGGAAUAUGUCUAUUGUAUUUUAUACGUCAAUUAAUACGUUGAUUUUUAAAAUAUAUUAAACAACAGAUGAAAUAGAAGAGUUUGAAAUGCGAAGCAAAGUGGACAAAAUGACUUCUUUUUAAGCCUGAUCCAGAUCAACAGGAACUCGUUUGACAUUCGUCAUAAACAUGAAGAAGACAAUAGCACAAAUCAUAGAUAUAAGGAAUUACCAACAUAUUAAACAACAGAUGAAAUAGAAGAGUCUGAAAUGCUAAGUAAAGUAGUCAAAACGUCUUAAAUUGAAACUUUGUUGCAUAGAUUGAAAUUCGUGCAAUUGAUUAACUAAUAAAAGAUUGGUUAACGAAAUCUCAAAUACUGCAAAAUAUAUAAGGGACGGUUUAAUGGUGGCUAAUAAACAAUUGCUGAGUUAAUCUACAGUGAACGCGAUUAUGCGUGUUCGUUUCCACUCAUAUGUUCUAAAAAAUUUCUUGGUAGACAACAUUGCGCGUGGAGUUUGAAACCACCCCUUGUUAUAUAUUUCACCCUUGAGAGAGCCACAUACAACUGUCCAUGAGUAAACACAUGUCUCGAAAGGUACAAAUCCACAUGAGAAAGUGUCUGACACUGGCUCUUGUUUAUAGUCAUUGCGAAGCAUAAAGUCACUGGGAAUUGCCUUAGAGAGAAUUUGAAGGGAAGACCAGAGUCAGAAGGUGUUAAGGUUAUUCUUGGAAUGUAAUCUGUUUUACCCAACCUAAUUCCUCGGUAAAUAUUUACCGAGGCCACUUUGCAUGACGGAUACAAUUUCGUCGCUAAUUCCAUCGCUAAAUUUUUAGCGACGGAAUUUUCCUUACUUAGCGACGGAUUUUGUUCCUCGCUAAUUUGCUUUUUUUAGCAGUGGUAGUGGGUUUUAUAUUUUGUUACUCUUGUUUUGAUUUUAUAUUGUGGUUUCAGCCACAAAAGGAUAUGUGCGUGUGACAAACCUCUCUUUUGGAACUCAAUGGUGUACAUUUCUAAAAAAAAUAUAAAAUCUCAAAAACAACUCAUUAUCUACAAAACUCGAAGGUUAUUAGUAAAAUUGUUUAUUGGAAAGUCAAGGUCUAAAAAUCGUGAAUACGACAUACCUUGCAUCAAAAGCACUGAAUAUUUUUCCUUUUCUUAAAUCAUACAUGAAUCUAUCAAGCUUCAUUUUAAAAAAAAUAAUAAUUGCUAUGAAUUAAGAAAUGUUAGGACGUUAAAAAAAUGUCAAGGAUUUUUUAAAAAUGUUGAGUUAAUUAUUCCAUUAAAAAUAAUUGGGUUAUAGUAUUAUUUUAAAAUAGGGUUUUUUAAAAAUGUUGAGUUAAUUAUUCCAUUAAAAAUAAUUGGGUUAUAGUAUUAUUUUAAAAUAGGGUUGUGUUAUGUGUAUGUGUAAUCCCUUUACUAAAUCUACAAAUAUAUUAAUUAAUUAUUGAACCAAUAUAUUAUAGAAAUCAUUUUUUAGGGAGUAAAAAAAGAUUUUUUUGAAACAUGAGUAAAAAAAAAUUACUGUCUAUUUAAAUAGUGCAAAGUAGUAGUAUAUUAUUAACCCAAAAAAAAAAACUCGCUUAAAUCUGAAUGCUAUUAAUGUUCUUUUCGUUUCCCAGUUAUAGUAGUUGUGUUAUCUUUCUUUUCUUUUCUAGUUGUAUUGUCUUUGUUUUCUUUGUAUUUGCUAGUGAUGGGCUUUUGCUGCUUGUACGGUGCUUUGGGUGGUUUUAACCACUCAUGCUUUAUUAUUAAUAUAUAACUUGUUUAUUCUCAAAAAAAAAUCUGAAUGACAUUUAUUAUGAUAUUUAUUCCCGUAAAAAAAAAUACUCGCAUUCCGCAACAAUAAUUUUAAAUAAGUAUUUAAUGUAUGAUAAAUGGAAACAAUAUAGAAUCAACCGCAGUCCGCAACUAAUGAGAAAUUCUGCCAAGUUCACCUAGCAACCAUCAAAUCUCUGCGUGUCCAUGAUAGUUUUGUGGACCCUUAGCAUCAGAUCAUCUCCAUUUUCCUAGAAUUAACAUUGAAUAAAAAUAAGAUAAAUUAAGAAAAAAUCAAGAAAUAAACAACUUAAAUACUAAUCAAAUCUAAAAUUAAAAAAAGUAUUAAUUAAAGAUAAAUAAAAACUGUCAAAAUCUAGCAAAUCACAAUAAAAACUCAUAAAAUUAUGAAUUAAAUAAAAAUCCGAAAAUUCAAUAAAAAUACCAUAAAAAUCAAUUGAUACUCUAAAAAUACAUCAAAAAUAAAUUAAAAGACCCAAGAUAAAAUCAAGAAAUAAAAAACCUAAAUCUCUAAUCAAAUAUAAAAUUUAAAAAUGUACUAAUUAAAGAUAGAUAAAAACUACAAAAAUCUAGCAAAUCACAAUAAAAACUCAUAAAAUCCUUAAUUAAAUAAAAAUUCGAAAAUUCAAUAAAAAUGCCAUAAAAAUUAAUUAAUACUUUUUUUUUCAAUAUUAAAUCUGCAUGAAGAUUUUUUUCUAGAAUGUUUUGCCACCUGACACCCCCAUAUCAUCCCAAAAAAAUAUAUACAAAUUUUGUUUUUCUUGACUUUGAAAUAAAUAUUUUUAUUACAUAUUUUUUAAAACACUGUUAAAUCUGCAUUAAAAAAAAUUUUCUUAACUUUGAAAUACAUAUUUUUUAAAACACUAUGAAAUCUGCAUUUAAUUUUUUUUCUAAACUUUGAAAUACAUAUUUUUACAUAUAUUUAAAAAAACAGCAUUCACGUUACAUUUUUCUUUUUAAUAUUUGGGAAUAUUUUAUUUAUAUUUAAAUAUCAUAACCUAUUAAAUGUGAUCAAUUUUUUUGCAGGAAAUAUUUGACAUUUAUAGUGAAAAAACUCAACUGCUAAUUUUAUGGAGAUUUAAAAUUAUUUCAUCUCAUAGUAAUAAAUAACAUUAAAUAUAUUAAUAUAAAUAUGAAAUUAAAAAAAUUUAAUCAUUCAAAAUUAUUUGUAGGUAAAAUAUUAUAUCUUACUUAAACUUUAAAAAUAUAAAUGGUUGAAUAUAAAAUUAUGAAUUAGACAUUUAAUUAAAGUAAACUAUUUUUCAAUUUGAACAAUCAUGCAUGAUUGAGGUCAUUUAUUUACCAUUUUUUUCUUCAAGUUGUUGGGCGUUUGGUUUAAAAUGCAGGCUAUUUUUCCUCUGCCCUUGGCACUUGGUUCUUUCCAAUAACAUCGGUGAAAAUUAUGGAAAAUGUUAAUUUGUAUGAAUGUUAUGCAAACAAAUACUUAUCAUUGGUUAAAAUUUCCUUAUCCUGCGACAUUCAUCCUUAUUUUCCUGCAAAAGCUAAUUUUAAUUGAUGGAAAUUAAAAUUCAUGUGUUUCUCCCAAAAAAAAGUGAAUCAGGAUAUACAAUAGAAAUUUUCAAAUAGUCAUAUUAUAUAAUUGCAAAAGAAAAAAAAACAUUGACAGUGAAUAUAAGAAAGAAAACAACUAUAACUGUACCGUUGCAUGUGGUAUAAGAUCAGAAAUAACAAACCUUUGAACCAAAGACAUUUUUGAAGAAGAUUGAUGAAGAAAAAAUAUAUAUAGAACAUUGUGCAUUAGAAAAAAAGAAGAAAAAAAAUCUCAAUUGUAAAGAUGACAGUAUAUAAGGAACAAACCUUUGGUCAUUGCAUGUUAAUGGGGAAAAGAUGAGCAGCGAAGAGAACUUUUUUUCAUGUUAUGAGAGAAAAAUAUAUAUACAAUCAUGUAUUAAAUAGGAUAAGAAAUUAAAUAGAGUGAUAGAGGGUCAUCUGUUGAAAAAAUUUACUCAAUAGAAGAUAAACACCUAAAUCUCCUCUCCCUCUUUUGGUAUGACCCAUUUUUUUUUCUUCCUCACACUGUAUAUUGCACACUUCAGUGCUUGACACAAUUUAUAGCCCUCUUAUAAAAAAAAUUGAUAUCGUGGUCAAUCUAUAAAAAAAUUGUCUUAAAUUACUAUAAUUAAAUUAUAUGUACAUAAUUUAUAGCAUCAUAAUAAAAAACAUUAAAAACUCAUUGUCAAUUUAAAAUAUUUUAUCUUAAAUUACUAUAAUUAAAGAGAUGAGAAUUUUAUUUUGAUACAAAAUCAUGUUCAUCUAUUAUCUAUAUCUAAAAAAAUAUUCUUUUAGUAUAAUGAGAUCAUUGCGGAAAAUACCCAAAGGGAAUAAAAAAUAAAAAAACUCCAAUUAUUUUUAAUAUUUUCGAAUAUGUGAUAUUUUCAUGUAUCAUAUUUUUCUAUUUUGUGAUUUCUGAAUAUGUGUUUUAUUUUUAAUAUUUGAAAUAAUUUAUUUUUGAUUUUGUCAUUUUUGAAUAAGUGUUUCAAUUUUAAUCUUUAAAAUUAUUUUUCAAUUUUUUGAUUUUUAAAAAGGUUUAUUAUUUAAUCAAAAUAGUUGCAUACAUAAAUUUCAUGUUAUCUACAUCCAAGAUCUCAAGUAGAUAUGUUAAAAUUUUAAAAAAUAAUAAUAUUGAUGAUGAUUCGAAAAUCCUUUUUAUUAUAUUGAUGAUUAGUUCUUUAUUAAAUUUUUUUGAAAUAUAUUGAUGAUGAUUCAAAACUUUUUUUUAUUAUAUUGAUGUUCACGCACAUCAAUGGUGAAUUAUUUCGUGGCUACUAUUUUUGUAUCAAAUAUUGUUAAUUUUUUUAUUGUUAUAAUACAUUAGAAAAUAAGUUAAAUAGUAAAUAUAGAUUUCAUUUACUGUAGCUUAACCUAUAUUCCAUGAAACUUUUAUUUAGUCCAUCAAAUAUAAAUGAUAUUCUAAAGGUUUAUUAUAUUUGAGUCAUUUUUAUAAUUUUCAAAUAUAUAUUUCUCAUAUUUUAUAAUUUUUUCUUUAUUAAUUACUAAUGAUAUCAAAGAAUAUAAACCACUACCGCAUGCACCAGAAAUCAAUUAGUGGACAAAUAGCACUCAAUAGACCCUAUCCCCUAAAGUAGAAUUUACAGAAAAUCAACAAAAAUAAAUCAUAAAACUGACAAUAAGAGUCAUGUUUUAAUUAACUAUAACAAAAUAUAUCAGUCAUACAGUCUGAUCAAACACGAAUUAAUCCCAGUGUUAUCAAUAUCAUAGAUAUAACAAAAAGUUCAAUAGAUAUGAGAUAGCCUUUGGGAGAUGAAAGAGAGAGGGUCGUGUAAAGUGACUGUGAACAACGUAGAAACACGAGAAAAUUGCAAAGCACCUGAGAGAUUGAGACGAGGUCGCCGGUAGUCGCGCGGCUGCAGGUGGCCGGAGGUGGUUUGGGCAGCAGCUAUGGGAGUAGUGAAGGUGAGAGAUACUGAGAGAAAUUCGGUGGAAUUAGGGUUCCUAUUUUUUUU
rnacentral:lncRNA from 1 species